UACAGAGGGAGCAAGCGUUGUUCGGAAUUACUGGGCGUAAAGGGCGCGUAGGCGGUCUUGCAAGUCCUGUGUGAAAUCCCUCGGCUCAACUGAGGAACUGCACGGGAAACUGCGAGGCUUGAGUUCGGGAGAGGGAAGCGGAAUUCCGGGUGUAGCGGUGAAAUGCGUAGAUAUCCGGAGGAACACCGGUGGCGAAGGCGGCUUCCUGGACCGACACUGACGCUGAGGCGCGAAAGCUAGGGGAGCAAACGGG
rnacentral:rRNA from 2 species